GAUGAACGCUGGCGGCGUGCUUAACACAUGCAAGUCGAACGGAAAGGCUCCUGCUUGCAGGGGUACUCGAGUGGCGAACGGGUGAGUAACACGUGGGUGAUCCGCCCUGCACUUCGGGAUAAGCCUGGGAAACUGGGUCUAAUACCGGAUAGGACCACAUUUUGGAUGGUGUGGUGGAAAGUUUUUCGGUGUGGGAUGAGCUCGCGGCCUAUCAGCUUGUUGGUGGGGUAAUGGCCUACCAAGGCGUCGACGGGUAGCCGGCCUGAGAGGGUGUACGGCCACAUUGGGACUGAGAUACGGCCCAGACUCCUACGGGAGGCAGCAGUGGGGAAUAUUGCACAAUGGGCGCAAGCCUGAUGCAGCGACGCCGCGUGGGGGAUGACGGCCUUCGGGUUGUAAACUCCUUUCGCUAGGGACGAAGCGUUUUUGUGACGGUACCUGGAGAAGAAGCACCGGCUAACUACGUG
rnacentral:rRNA from 1 species